AAAAGAAGGCUAGGGAGGGAGAGGAUACAGUUGAGAGGUAGUGGGGAGUUUUCUCUGAUAGGCUGAAAGAAGCCUGGGGCUGGAAAUGGGUCCCUCUGAGCUAGAGUCAGUGAAGCCUGGGGCUAGAUGGUGGUUGUCCUGAGUCAGGAGCAAGCUGGAGGCAGUGAAGUCCAAGAGCUAGUGAUAGUAAAGCCACAGGUGUGCUUGGACUGGAAUUUGAGGGGCUGCAGGGAGAGAGGGGAGACCUCUGCUAUCUUCCUCUUGGCACUAGAAAGUGGAGAUAGUUCAAUUCUGUGCCUUCCAGACUGGGAGAGACUUUGAAAUGACCUGAGGUGUGGCAGGCCACCAUGAGAGUGGAGCGACUGUCAGCACAGGCUGCUAAAGAGAAAAGAGUUGUUAUGGCACACCAAGCCCUGAGGUGCCCACCAGUGCUCAUGCUAUUUGAAUGCCGGGGGUUGGCAAAACUGUGAUCAGCUAAACACAGCCCUUCUGUGUGGAGACCAAACCACAAAUAGCAGGAUGGCUAGCCGCAUGGCAUCACGUGAGGUAGGCUCAUCCAAUCAAGGACCCAGAAGAUCUGCCAUGUAAUAAACAUCAUGUGACUUUUCACAACAAACUUCUAUCGAACCCAAAAUGAACCAGCAACACUUGGGCUUCAAUAGAGUCACACCUACCUAGAGAGGGUUUUGGUUCUGGCUUUGUUGAAGGGUUUGCAGGCCUGGAAAAAAAAAAAGUCUGAAGGAAACCCAGCUAGUUCAGUUUUUGAGUGUAAAUCUGAAAUCAGGUAGAGGUUUGGUUUCACAAUGAAGGUUUUACACUGCCCUUGUUCCUAUAGUCAAAGCUGAGAUAUUUCCAGUCUAAAUAAUUGCUUCUAAAAGAAGGGUUUGAUUAAUGAGCCAAUUAUCCUUUGGAUGGCUGGGCAUUUCAGUUAUGCCAUACUGUUUUUGCAUCACCCUGUCUACUGAAGCGGGGUGGGUAGGUACCUAAGUGGUGCCAAAGAGCAAAAAUAGCUAUGCUGCUCACACACUGACUUUCUGUUAAUGGACCAUCCUGUAAACAGAAGCAUUAGGAUUUCAUACAAACCUGCCACUUCCACCACAUCAGCAGCCAAGCUCUGCUGCACUGAAGAAGGAAUUUUUUUUUUAAAUGCAGUUGCACUCCAUUGAAGCUACAAUCAUAUUUUCCACUAACCACAGAUCUGAAACUGCUGACAUGUCUGUUUUAAAUAAAACUGGGAGGAGAACUGAUGUAAUCCUCUCUGGGUUAUGUGUGCAUGUAGGGGUUUGGGGUUUUUUGUCUUCUGCAUUUUUAAACCCUCAAUUUCCCCCUGACUCCUGCAGACUCACUUUUUGUUUGUUUAAAUUCUUUCCUGAUCACAAAUCACUGGGGAAACUGAAUAGCUAUUGCAGCAAACAAGAGCCUAUAAUGUCAAGUGGAAUAGACAAUGGAUUUCUUUAAAGUCCUUAAAGGAACAGAAUGUUAUAGUGGCCUGGCCUACUUUUAAUGUUUUCUUUUUCAGCCAUUUAUUUCUUUCUUCUUAGGAAUUUUGGUUAGUUUAAAAUGAUGGUAGCACAGAUCAAAUGUAGUUAAUGUGUAUGUUGCUUUGGUUGCGUGUUUGACUGGAACAUCUCUUAUUUUGUCAGCAAGAUCAUGAAAGGUUUUUGAAAGACGUAUUUAAGUUGUAUUUUAAUAAACUGCAGCACGUCUAGUUCUGGAAGGAUAAGUGAAA